rnacentral:rRNA from 1 species
GCGCUACCUGCAGUCGAGCGGAUGAGGGAGCUUGCUCCCUGAUUUAGCGGCGGACGGGUGAGUAAUGCCUAGGAAUCUGCCUGGUAGUGGGGGAUAACGUUCCGAAAGGAACGCUAAUACCGCAUACGUCCUACGGGAGAAAGCAGGGGACCUUCGGGCCUUGCGCUAUCAGAUGAGCCUAGGUCGGAUUAGCUAGUUGGUGAGGUAAUGGCUCACCAAGGCGACGAUCCGUAACUGGUCUGAGAGGAUGAUCAGUCACACUGGAACUGAGACACGGUCCAGACUCCUACGGGAGGCAGCAGUGGGGAAUAUUGGACAAUGGGCGAAAGCCUGAUCCAGCCAUGCCGCGUGUGUGAAGAAGGUCUUCGGAUUGUAAAGCACUUUAAGUUGGGAGGAAGGGCAUUAACCUAAUACGUUAGUGUUUUGACGUUACCAACAGAAUAAGCACCGGCUAACUUCGUGCCAGCAGCCGCGGUAAUACGAAGGGUGCAAGCGUUAAUCGGAAUUACUGGGCGUAAAGCGCGCGUAGGUGGUUCGUUAAGUUGGAUGUGAAAGCCCCGGGCUCAACCUGGGAACUGCAUCCAAAACUGGCGAGCUAGAGUACGGUAGAGGGUGGUGGAAUUUCCUGUGUAGCGGUGAAAUGCGUAGAUAUAGGAAGGAACACCAGUGGCGAAGCGACCACCUGGACUGAUACUGACACUGAGGUGCGAAAGCGUGGGGAGCAAACAGGAUUAGAUACCCUGGUAGUCCACGCCGUAAACGAUGUCAACUAGCCGUUGGAAUCCUUGAGAUUUUAGUGGCGCACUAACGCAUUAAGUU